rnacentral:lncRNA from 1 species
AUGAAUGUUGGCUUCUUUUCUGCUUUACACAGAAAAGAAAAGCCCCUAUGUAUUGGUCUCACAAAAAGCUUGAAUCUGGGCACAGAGUCCCCUCUCCCCGGCCUCCCUCCACCAACAGUCCCGGUUGGGGCAGGUCCACAGAAACACGUGACCUGGAUGGCGCGGCCGCGAGGUCACCCACGACUGUCAAACUCGGAUGACUCACACCGCCUUCUGGCCCUUGUAAACGCAGUCCGUGGGCGCUUUCUCCCGCGCCUCCCAGCAAGCAAACCGACCCAUCGCCCCCAGCAAGUCGCUCGCUUCACCGCGCACCGCGUCCCCGCCCCCCGCCAUCUGUCGCACAGGCCACGUCCCCCGCCAUCUGCUCACUGUCCUCCGCGCCCAGAACCCGCUCACGUUCCAGGCUGCCUCCCACUCUUCUCCAGCCCGCCCCAGCCCUGCACCUCCUCUCGCAUCUCCCCCGCAGCCGCCCCCAUCCGCACACCCCAGUCCCGGUCGUCCUUCCCCACGCCCCGCCCGAAGCCCGCCUUUCCCCAGGCGGGGGGCCCUCCCCGACCCCCCCAGGCCGGCCCCGCAGCCAGGCGGACGUUGGGAGGCGGCGGAACAGGGGCGUCGUCUCCGUUUCCUUCCUCCUCACAUCGGCCCCUCCCGCCGCGGCGGCGGGCGCCGGUACCUGAGCCUCCCGGGGAGGUCCGGGCCGCUCCGCCGGGCCGGCAGCGCUGCGAGGGCGGGGGAAGGAGUGGGAAGCGCAGGAAGAAGGCGGGGAGGGGGACACAGUGGGCGCGGACCCGGCGUCUGCCGCUCCGCCGCCGCAGCGCCCCCGCUCAUCGAGCGGAUCGGCGCUCCGCGGCCUGGCGCCAGGCGGAGGGGGCGGGCCCAGGCUGCGGAGAUGGUCGAGGGAGUCGAGCGAGCCGGGCGAGCCGAGCUCGGAGGGCGGGAGCGGAGAGGGUCUGGAGGCGGCGGAGGGGGCUCGGAGAAGUCACUCAGGAGUCACUCAGGGUGGCGCGCCGGGGCCCAGCGCCGGGUUGGGGCUGA